rnacentral:tRNA from 3 species
CGGGACGUGGCGCAGCCUGGUUAGCGCGCUUGCUUGGGGUGCAAGAGGACGGAGGUUCAAAUCCUCUCGUCCCGACCA